UAGGGAAUCUUCGGCAAUGGACGAAAGUCUGACCGAGCAACGCCGCGUGAGUGAAGAAGGUUUUCGGAUCGUAAAACUCUGUUGUUAGAGAAGAACAAGGACGUUAGUAACUGAACGUCCUCUGACGGUAUCUAACCAGAAAGCCACGGCUAACUACGUGCCAGCAGCCGCGGUAAUACGUAGGUGGCAAGCGUUGUCCGGAUUUAUUGGGCGUAAAGCGAGCGCAGGCGGUUUCUUAAGUCUGAUGUGAAAGUCCCCGGCUCAACCGGGGAGGGUCAUUGGAAACUGGGAGACUUGAGUGCAGAAGAGGAGAGUGGAAUUCCAUGUGUAGCGGUGAAAUGCGUAGAUAUAUGGAGGAACACCAGUGGCGAAGGCGGCUCUCUGGUCUGUAACUGACGCUGAGGCUCGAAAGCGUGGGGAGCAAACAGG
rnacentral:rRNA from 1 species